rnacentral:lncRNA from 1 species
GUCAAACUUUAAUUUUAAUCACGUAAAUUAUGAAAUUCACAAUUUUUUUAAUCAAAAUGUGCUAAUUUAUAUCAAACCGGCCCUAAGACUUUACACCAUUAUUGACCUAGAAAUUUACCAAGUAAUCCAAUCUAAUCAUAGUGAGAUAAUUGCACAUUCAAUCAUGACAAUCAAGUUAUAAAAUAACAAUACAAGAAAAAAUUUGACAUGACAAACAAGGAGGGAGUAGAGAGUUUUUUUUUUUUUUUUUUUAUAACUCAGGUGUCCAAGUUUCGCCUGACUAAUCCUGAGGAAUAGCGGCCUUUCCCCUUGAUUCACCACCGAGGUAAAUCUAGAUGCGAACACAGCUUAUACACACUUGGGGCGAACAUUCGGGAUGUGAUUCUCCUUCCUGUAGACCUCCAUUUACGACGUGCAGACAGAACCCCGGAGAAGCGACAAAGCGCAACAUAACUUUGCCUCCACAGGACAACUGCCUUCCAACAAAAAUGUUGCCUUCCAGCUGCUGCGAGGAUUCAAACCUCCAAUGCUCCGUGUGGAACCCUCCUGCCUUACCACUGCACCAUGUCCUUAGAG